CCUCUUUGAAUAGAUACGUAGAACUCGCAACUUCAGCUCAUGCUCAUCAUCAGUAUCAGUAUCUUUAAAUUCCAUCUCAGCAAGCAACUGCUCUGCAUCAUUAUCAUAUUCAGUAUCAAAUUCCUGUCGUUUGGGGUUAUAACCACUCAACUCAACUAAAGAGCCGUCAUUCCCAGAAGAAUUCAAUUUUUUCCCCUUAAAACUCCUGUCUGUUUGAGGAUCUGCAUUUAAAUUUGAUAGUAACCGCCCAGAAGGACCACCUUUAUGCAUUUCUUCAACUUUGACUCUGGAGGGAGAAAAUGGAGACUCCUCCUUCACAGUAUGCUCUCCAAGCAUAGAAGAUCCCUUUUUGUCCUCUCCAUGUCCUUUGGCCAUAGCAAGAAGCUCCUUUCUGUUUUUCCCGACUACAUGAGACAUGUCUGGAAGAGGGAAAAAUGGAGAGUUCAUAUAUAU
rnacentral:misc_RNA from 1 species